UGGAAUAGUCCAUCUCCUAGCCUGGCCUUC
rnacentral:piRNA from 1 species